rnacentral:rRNA from 1 species
AACGUAGGGGGCGAGCGUUGUCCGGAAUUACUGGGCGUAAAGGGCGCGUAGGCGGUUAUCCAAGUCACAGGUGAAAACUACCGGCUCAACCGGUAGCCUGCCUGUGAAACUGGGUGACUUGAGGGCAGGAGAGGGGAGUGGAAUUCCCAGUGUAGCGGUGAAAUGCGUAGAUAUUGGGAGGAACACCAGUGGCGAAGGCGGCUCUCUGGCCUGUUACUGACGCUGAGGCGCGAAAGCGUGGGGAU